rnacentral:rRNA from 1 species
ACCGGCGCACGGGUGAGUAACGCGUAUGCAACCUGCCUACUACAGGGGGAUAGGCUUCUGAAAGGGAGAUUAAUACCGCAUAAUAUAUAAGAUUCGCAUGGGUUUUAUAUUAAAGAAUUUUGGUAGUAGAUGGGCAUGCGUUUCAUUAGCUAGUUGGUAAGGUAACGGCUUACCAAGGCAACGAUGAAUAGGGGAACUGAGAGGUUUAUCCCCCACACUGGGACUGAGACACGGCCCAGACUCCUACGGGAGGCAGCAGUGAGGAAUAUUGGUCAAUGGGCGAGAGCCUGAACCAGCCAAGUCGCGUGAAGGAUGACUGCCCUAUGGGUUGUAAACUUCUUUUGUACAGGAGUAAAAGAUAUUACGUGUAAUAUUUUGCAAGUACUGUACGAAUAAGCAUCGGCUAACUCCGUGCCAGCAGCCGCGGUAAUACGGAGGAUGCGAGCGUUAUCCGGAUUUAUUGGGUUUAAAGGGUGCGUAGGCCGUAAUUUAAGUCAGUGGUCAAAUUUCCGGGCUCAACCCGGUCCUGCCAUUGAAACUGGAUUACUUGAGUUUAAGCGAGGUAGGCGGAAUUUGUAGUGUAGCGGUGAAAUGCAUAGAUAUUAC